rnacentral:piRNA from 1 species
UCACAACGUUGUCGGUGACGAAGC